AUUGAACGCUGGCGGCAGGCCUAACCCAUGCAAGUCGAGCGAGCGGCGGACGGGUGAGUAAUGUAUGGGGCCUGCCCGAUAGAUGGGGAUAACUACUGGAAACGGUAGCUAAUAACGCAUACUAUCGGAUAACCCAUAUGGGAUUAGCUAGUAGGUGAGGUAAUUCCUCACCUCGGCGACGCUCCCUAGCUGGUCUGAGAGGUUGCUCAGACGAACUGGGACUGAGACACGGCCCAGACUCCUGCGGAGGCAGCAGUGGGGAAUAUUGAACAAUGGGCGCAAGCCUGAUGCAGCCAUGCCGCGUGUAUGAAGAAGGCCCUAGGGUUGUAAAGUACUUUCAGUCGGGAGGCGUUACCGACAGAAGAAGCACCGGCUAACUCCGUGCCAGCCGCCGCGGUAAUAC
rnacentral:rRNA from 1 species